GUUCACACUGUUUGUUCCACUGAUUGAGUUGGGGCCCGGCGAGCGGCGAGCGUCCACCUCGUGGGCCGAGUGCACAGCGCCGCGCUGGCAGAACCUCUCAGGAGAAGUCAAACACGCCAGAGACAGACAGUCACGCUGAUGGCAGCCACGGAGGAUUUACCACUGCUGCAUAUCUAAAAAGGGCUAAACUAGGGAAUAAAGCAGCUGAGGAAAUGGAUGCCUGUGGUCUGGUCCGAGGGCCUUACACCGGACAGGCGCAGGGCCCCCGACGAGGUGGUUCCCACCGGCACACACAAAAUGCCACUUUCACUGCUCGCCCCGAGGAGAGAGAAGGUCCAUAUAACAGUUCUAACGGAGCUCUGCAUCGAAUAUCUCAAAGGGACGAGGGAAACUCUGAAAGAAAUCAGAUGAGGACUCAUGGAUUAAUCUACGCUUUUGUAUCUCACAAAAGAAGUCGGCAUUGAGUUCAAAAGGAAGGGACUUGUUAGGCGUCCCCACGUGGAGGGGACGCUUGCUAUCUGCAGCUCCUCUCGAUCCGCUGCCUGUGCGUCAGGUAUCGACAUUUCUAUGGACUCCUCCGUAUUGAUCUGGCUCGAAUGUAGGGAGGUUAAUUGAAGCACGGAGUCAUAAUAAAACAGGAGGACCGGUCCGCGCCGCACUUUGUCUCCGUCCGCGUCAAGCUGCAGAGCUGAAAAUGUGAAAUAGGGACAUUUGUCUCUUUCUUCUAGGCAACAUCCUCGGAGAAUCCCUUCCUGGCAUCUCAGCUGGGAUCUUGUGCUUAAUUAUGCAUGUAGUAUGUUGUCAGAGGAAAUGUCUGAAACGGGGGUCGAGCUUGUCCCCUGUCGUUACCGCCAGAUAACAUCUAUUAAUUGCUUUAAUGACAACUCUUCCUUGGGAGGUCUUUGUCAUCUAAUUCAAGGUGGUGCAGUAACGAGACAUCCAGGGGACCGAAUUCAAAAGGGCUUGAUGUUCGGGAUCCAUUUCUAGAGCCUGUGUGGGAAAAACAUUAGUAAAUAGUUUUCCCAUUAUGAUUUUAAUAUGGGGCUUGAGUGAACGGGCUCUUACAGCACACUUAAAAGCUGCGACAUUUAGCUUUUGUAUCCUGGCAAAUUAUUCUAUUCGCUGUGUUUUUUUUUGAGAAUAUCAUAUCAUUUUUGAGAGGAUGUUUUUAUUUUGACGUUUUAUGUUUCCACAGCGACACCGCCGCCAUAGAAAGCAAAAUUCUGUGUGGUGGAUUCAGUGUACUUUUAACCUCAGAAUAAAA
ensembl:lncRNA